UAAUGAUAAUGAUUUUUUCAGUUUUCUUGUUUCCACACUUUUUUACUCUACUUCCUCCUCCUCCUCCUCCUCCUCCUUUUCUUCCAUUCUUCCAGUCCGCAUGACCAAGAAUUUCCUCUCCCUGCAUGACAACACACACACACACACACACACACACACACACGCUAUCAUUAUCAUGUAUAGGGAACAAAACAUAUGGUGUGUGUGUGUGUGUGUGUGUGUGUGUGUGUGUGUGUGUGUGUGUGCGCGCUGUCGCGCGUUUGCGGUGCCAUACUGUCUCUUAGGUGCCUUCGUCCUUGAUGUUUAACUGGCCACGCCCCGCUAGGCGCAGAGGGCCAGAAAGUGCCACAGAAGGCCAUUUGUGUCACUGAAACACGUUUAGAACUUGUGAAAUUUUGUCAUAAUGCACAAAAACCACAAACUGUGAUUUGAGUGCCAAAUAUUGCUUAACAGCAUGACAAACAGUGCCACGGAGGGAGCCAUGAGUGUCACAGAGGGCCAUGAUUGCAACAUAAACACGUCCACAAGCGCCACAGAGUGGUGGCUGAAGAGAGCCAACCUGAGGGACAAAGAGUGCCAGUCACCCACGAGUGUCUUCUACACAAAUAACCAUUAUACAAUUACCACAAGGAACAAGGCUCCCUGAUUCAGUGCCGUACAGUGCCUCACGCCGGACUGAGUAGCAGUGUCAAGUAGUGGUCAAAGAGGGCGUAGCACGUCACCAUGUGCACCAUAAGGAAGGAAGGAAGGAAGGAAGGCGAGGCACAGAGUGAGAGAGUGACAGAGUUGCUGCCCCGGACACUAUUUCCACCAGGCCUCAGCGAUCUCCCAUCAAUGGCUGGGUGCGACGGCACAGGAGGCGUGGUUUGUGGGGCACUGUGUGGC